ACCUAGUGCCUGAUCCAAAGCUCAUUGAAGUCAAUGGGAGUCUUUCCAUUGACUUCAGUGGGUUAUGAAUCAGGCUGAUAGU
rnacentral:pre_miRNA from 1 species